rnacentral:rRNA from 1 species
UACGAAGGGGGCUAGCGUUGCUCGGAAUCACUGGGCGUAAAGCGCACGUAGGCGGAUUCUUAAGUCGGUGGUGAAAUCCUGGAGCUCAACUCCAGAACUGCCUUCGAUACUGAGAGUCUUGAGUUCGGGAGAGGUGAGUGGAACUGCGAGUGUAGAGGUGAAAUUCGUAGAUAUUCGCAAGAACACCAGUGGCGAAGGCGGCUCACUGGCCCGAUACUGACGCUGAGGUGCGAAAGCGUGGGAGCAA